AUUCCGCUAUGUUGACACUUUCUAACUAUCUCCUUAAACCUUUCCCAUGCUUCAAAAAUAAUUUCAUUCUCUUUCUGGGCAAAAUUAUGGAUUUCUCUUCUAAGCUU
rfam:Nicotiana attenuata strain TT chromosome 2, whole genome shotgun sequence.